rnacentral:rRNA from 1 species
UACGGGGGGGGGCAAGCGUUUGUUCGGAAUUACUGGGCGUAAAGGGCUCGUAGGUGGCCAACUAAGUCAGACGUGAAAUCCCUCAGCUUAACUGGGGAACUGCCUUUGAUACUGCAAAUCUCGAGUCCGGAAGAGGUGAGUGGAAUUCCUAGUGUAGAGGUGAAAUUCGUAGAUAUUAGGAAGAACACCAGUGGCGAAGGCGGCUCACUGGUCCGGUACUGACGCUGAGGUGCGAAAGCGUGGGGAGCAAACAGG